AAUAAGGGCUCCAGUGAAAAGUAUACUGAAUAAUGUUCUCCUAUAUACCUGCUCUCAUGAAAAAAAUUUAUACCCUAGAAAAAAGUGUACCCCCUAAUGAAAAGAGAGUACACCCUAAUGAAAAAGUGUACCCCCUAAUGAAAAAGUGUACACCCUAAUGAAAAAGUGUACCCCCUAUGAAAAAGUAUACCCUCUAAUAAAAAAAAGUAUACCCCCUAAUGAAAAAGUAUACCCCCUAAUAAAAAAAAUAUACCCCCUAAUGAAAAAGUAUACCCCCUAAUGCAAAAAAAGUAUACCCCCCUUGAAUUAUGGCACUAAUAUAGCACCAUAAAAAUUAAUGGCUGCAUUAGCAGAGCCUUGCAGCUCUCUUCUCACUCUUGCAGCUACCAAUAGCUAGCGUUCUAGUGCAGAGCUAACUACUAAGUAGAGUAGCAACACUCGGUAAAGAAGUUUGACUACGUGCUCUUCUGCAAUGGCAUUCCAAGUAAGCAAAACUAGGCAUAACUCGAGAACGAAGCAUUAUUUUGAAAUUCCACGAAUUAAAAUCCAAGUAAACAUGACUAGAAGCCUAUAGAAACUCUCACCAGAAGAGGAACGCCAGGGUCAAUAGGGUCACGUUUAAUGAAGGAUUAAACAUUCUUGUUCUGGGUUCUUGACCUUUGCUGCAUAUAGCAGCUUAGCGCUUCUGUUCUUUAUUUGCCUGCUUGGAAAGCUUACUAUACCUAGAUCUAUCCAGUGCAGCAAGCCAGUACAUCAAAAUUUAUACCCUAGCCACGGAAGGCUAAUUUCCAUAUCUUGUGGUUUCGAAGAAUGCAAUAAAAGGUCAAAGGUUGCAAGUAAAUCCUGGAUCUCCUCUCUCAAGCUGAUUCCUCUGGGGCGCGAUAGCUCAACCAAUUUCUGUUGUGAUUAUAAAGAGGAUCAAGCUAUUGGUGGUGCAUAAACUCAGGGGCGCGAGGGUAAACUCAGUUUUACAUGUAAAACAUAGGGCCACGUGGUGUUUUAAUUAGUGACCUUUUGACACUGGCAUUCCUCCUCUGAACUCUUGCACUUGAUUCGUCCUUGAGCAGCUGUAGCAGUCUACCCACACAGAUACACACACACACACAGACACACUACCGUAUACCUCGCUUGCGCAUGCGCACCGAGGCAUAAUAAGCUACUGAAUGAUAUAAAAAUAAAGUGGUAAGAAGGAACCCUUACAUUGAUAUUCAUUUUUUCUGUGACUUUGAUUUCUGGGCAAAUCAGUACUGGGGGUGCUGGACACUGGUAACACCAAAUAAGAACACUAAUGACCCAGGUUUGACUAAGAUACAACAAAACAUUGACAAAAUGAGUAAGUUUCCCACUUGAGUGUCCCGAGUUUCAAAAAAACUGCCUAGUCUUUGCAAAGAAAUAAACAGCCAUCCGCUUUGCCAAUAUUUUUUUAUAGAAGGUCUUGUGUACUAACAUUGGCUUGUUUGGACCGACUUUGAUUUCUCCGAUACCUGCAUUCACGUCGAAACAGAGUUCCAUUCGCAUAACUGUGCGUCUCUGAAUCGUCGCCAGUAUCUCAGUCUAGGCUAGUAUUCUCAAGUGGGCGGUAACCGCAAACCUCAGUUAGAAUCAGAAGUCACUUUUGCAUAUCAUUAGCUCGCAUUUUAGAUUGAAGAGUUUAGAGCGUGGUGCACGUGAAGCCUCGAAAAGUAUCCGCGUUACGCCCUCUAACGUUGUGUUUCCUCGAUCUUUAUAACACGCCCACGCCUAGUAUAUGAGCCACAUGUAGCACUUGCUAAUGACUGACCAUGGCACACCCAGUAAAAAUUAAUUUAUAUGCUCACAAAGCUGUGUGCAAGCAUAGAUACUAUAAAUGUAAUUUAUAGUAUCUAUGGUGCAAGCAUGCUGGUUAUGACUAAGUAUCAAGUUGGGGCGUCGCCUGGUUACUUAGACCUUGAAAUAAAAGUGAGUUGCACCAUAGAUAGAAGGAAAGGGAUUGGAAACGCAUCACGUGAUGCUCUAUCAAUUGAACGUGUGACGUCAUAACAUGGUUUUAGAGGCUAGUUGCGCUUGGUAAGCUACUGGACAGCUGGAAACUCACCCACUGUCUGAAGCGUUUAUCUUUUUAUGGGAAAUUCCAGCUAUGUAUUGGGUAGUCUACGCUAUGCUGAGCCAUAGCAGACUACCUACAGACUCUUAGCUACUGAGUUACAAGGAGUUUUCUCUUGGAUUUCUGCUAUAUUGUAAGUUUUGUUCCUAUAUCAUCACACCCCUGGUUUGUGUAAUAGGCUGUAUUUAGUAUGAGGAGAAUAGUGUCUAAAAUGGGAAUAGCUACUUUGUAGAUUUUUCCUAGGUACUUCAGCAAACAUAUUGUACAAACAGAACAAAAUAUAGCAGCAUGUUUCCGUUCCUCUUACCUUAUCCAGCGAUGAGCAAUAGCACUAUAGUUUUACAGUAAUAUACGUUAACAGUAGAAUGGGAAUAGCACAGUUAGAUAGCUAUACACUUUUUUAUGAAGGCUCAAUCACUUGUUUUAGUACAAUACAAUUGUGGUUUUAUACAAUAAUUAUUGUGGCAUUUAUGUUAUACCCAUAGUACUGUAUUACAGAUUUAGUUAUUCAGUACAUUGCUAGUAAAUAUUAUCAGCAGUUCAAACACAGGACAUGGGGAACCUGAAGAGAGCUAGAGUAUGGAAUGCUAGAAGUGGUCCCUUCAAGUCAAGACAAAGGAGACUGAACAAAUCAAGCAUUUCUGUAGAGGAUUAAUCUAGAGUAUAUAUAGAUCUAUAUCUAAUCUGUACCAACAUAUAAUUAUUUAUGUUGGUGUAUAUAUAUACACGUGCUAAGUAAGUAAAAGUGUAAUAAUAUUGUUCAGGAUUGUUGUAUAUAUAGCGAUCAUGACUGGUAUACAUGGUGCAUGUGUUUGCUCUAUUUAUACUCGGUUUAUCGUAGAAAUCGCUCCAGAACUAUCAACUUAAUUCAGUCUGGACCAUCUCUCUGCCCAGCAGUCAACUCCUUCAAAAACUUGAUACUAAAAAUGUGCCUCUUGUAUAGUUACUGUAUUGUGUUAGGGGAAUUCCAAUAAAUAAUGUAGGCCUAUAGUGUAGUAAACACCUGUGGCUAUAAUUAUACUGACCACAGGAGGUCUGCAGGUCGCAUAGCUACCGAAUUAAUUACUCAGUAUACACUGAAGGAGAUUUGCACGGACUGAAAAACAGCAAUAAUAUUGGAGUAUCUAUGGUAUCCUCAAGAUUUGUAAUAGGUUGUAUUUUGUUUGAGCAGAAAGCAUAAAUUGUUUAUGGUGCAUGUAGAUCGUAUAACUAUAUAAUAAAUAGCUAGCCAGCAUGCAUGUAUUUAGCCACAAAUACUAACCACCCUUUCAUGUAAAUGCACAGAGCCAUGCCAAGAAAACUGCGGUUUUGUCAAAAAAAAAAAUGGGAAACAAAGAAGCAGGCUGAAAAUCAAAAACAGGCUCACACAAGCUUUAUUUGACAUUCACUCAUCAUUGACCCAUUAUGGACAGAUCAAAGUCAGAUUUCUGACACAAAUACAUUCAAAUCAAUAAAUUGUGCAAAAUUAAUUCUCAACCUUCGUCAUCCACGCAACCUCUUGUGAUUACACAUGCUGUAGUUGUGAAAAACGAUUUCUCGUAGAAGUUAAUAGUUCACGGACAUGAAGUUCUGCAUUUGUCAACUCCCCUCCUUUCUACUGUUCCACAACGUCUCAAUAGGUAGUCGUUGGCUCAUCUCCUCACAGUCAUUGAUUCAUCGACAGUAUGCCCUGGUAACACAGAUGAACGCUUUAUUGAAAUGGCCAAGUCACUCAAAGGAAAGUUUUUGACAAAAAGUGGUGAAGUAAGAGCUCCUUCAUCUAUCAAUAAAACGGUUGUUUCAAGCACUAUACGAACAAGUGGAUGUAAAUUUGUUACAACGGGGGAGAGAUGCUCUGACUGUGAAAAUUAUCGGAAACAGUUACGUACGGCACAUAGUCGCCAUUCUCGAAAGUCAUCAGAUUCUCAGAAAUUUACCAACAACAGAUACUUAAACACACCACAAAAAACACAGAAACUGAAAUCACUACAAUCGAGGGCGUCAAUAGCUGAACAAGAAGUUAAGAGACUAAAAUUGAAGAUUGAUAAAUUGUCCACUUUGAAUGGUGUCAUUGUAGACGAGCCUCUCCACCAGGAACUGAGCAGUAUCAUGACUGAGCAAAACGAUUCGAUAGCAAGUAAAUUUCCAGAGGGCACAUUUAGAGGGUUGUUUUGGAAACAACAAAUGAAGGCUGCUCAAGCCACAGAUUCCAGACAAAUGAGAUGGCAUCCAACGAUGGUGCCUUAAUUUGAAACUUUUGUCGUCAUCAUCAUACCAGUCUUCGCACCUCUGGUUUCAUCAAAUUACCAUCUGAGCGUACUUUGCGGGACUACACUCACUACUUCAAGUCUAAGACAGGUUUUCAGUCCGAGGUAGACAAAAUGCUGGUUGAGGAAGUUUCUCUUGGUAGUUAUACAGAUUGGCAGAAGUACGUAGUGAUUCUCUUUGAUGAGAUGAAGGUCAGAGAAAGUCUGGUGUAUGACAAGCACUCUUCACAAGUGAUUGGGUUCUAGGUGAUUUGAACGACCAGCUGGAUGAAAUGGAGCGGAGCGAUGUGGAACGUCCAUCCAUUGCCACUCAUAUUCUAGGGAUUAUGGUCCGUGGGGUGUUUAGUGGCCUGCAUUUCCCGUACGCUCACUUCCCAACUACUGGUGUUACGGGUGCCACGCUUUUUUCCCUUGUUUGGGAAGCAAUUGAACGCCUUGAACGACUAGGCUUUAAAGUAGUCGCUUUGACCGGAGAUGGAGCCAGCCCAAACCGCAAAUUUUUCAGUCUUCACGCAGAAUCCCAAGAGGAGAUUUGUUACAAGACUCUUAAUCCAUACGCUACCGAAGAUCGCUUUAUCUACUUUUUUUCAGAUGUUCCACAUCUAAUGAAAACAACCAGAAAUUGCUGGUCCCACUCUUUUGGUCAUGGCUGCACUAGAAAGCUUUGGAUCAAUGGGAAGCACAUCAGCUGGACCCAUCUCCGCUCCCUGUACCAACAUAAACUUAUGCUUGCUGAAAGGUCACAAGGGCUUUUUCUUUUGAAAAAGCUCUCCCGAGAACAUGUCAAUUUGACAUCGUACUCUAGAAUGCGAGUGAACCUUGCAGCAGAAGUUUUAAGUGAGUCUGUUGCAGUAGGAUUCAGUUUCUAUGACAGCAUUGACACAACAGAGACACUGAGAUUUGUUUGAAUGUUUGACAAAUUCUUUGACUGUCUCAACGUACGCAAUCCCAAUGACUAUCAGCGGAGAAAGAAGCCAAACUUGAAGCCGUACACAAGCCCAGCUGAUGAGCGACUAAGUUGGCUCGAAAACGACUUUCUUGGCUAUCUGAAAGACUGGGAGAUCAGCGUGAAUGGACGUGAAGAUGUUACACCCGCUCAAAGAGCUACCAUGUUGCUGAGUAAAGCAACCAGAGAGGGUCUGCAUAUCACUGUGAAAUCAUUCGUUGAGCUGACACGAUACCUUCUAGGAUUGUCGUCAGAGAAAUGCCCAUAUCUACUCAGUGAGCAUUUCUCACAAGACCCACUCGAAAACUACUUUGGGCAGCAACGUUCGAGGGGAGGUCGAAACCAAAACCCCACUGUUCAAGCUUGCCUGACCUCUGCUCAAUCUCUUCGGGUACAACUUAGAGGAAACUGACGCCGUAAGAAGCGAUUGUUUCCUGAAGAGGUUGUUGAAGAUACCCCACUUAAAAAGAGGCCAAGGAAUAAUUAAGAUUGUGAUAGUUUCUGUUGUUCAUGCAUGUAUACCAUCCAAUACUACGUAUACACUUUUAUUAACAUUGAUGAAUAUCAAAAUCUGUUUUCAUCGUGCAUGCAUUGAAGGAACAUAAUACAUGUAUAUAGAAUUACUGAGUCUUGUCAGAUUGCUUGUCGAGAGUCUUUCUCAAACUUUUGCUCUUCAUGACAGUCUUUUUUUGCACAUUUUUAUAUUGCUCCAGCCAGAAAGAUGUCACAGCAAAGCCUCUAAUAGUUACCCAGAGACUAACUAUUUCAUGGAGUAAAUCGUCAGCUUCACUCUCCUUCUUGAUAUCAAUAGAAAGCAUACUCCACCAAAACUGAACAUCAUCAUCUUCCAAGACAUCCUUCAAUAGUUUUCCCUUGCUUGGUGUAGGCUUAGAAAUUAUGUGUUGUGGCAGUAAUGCCUGCGUUUGUAUCUCGAUUGCUUUAAACAAAUUGAACGUGGUGUCACUAACAUGAAACAAUCCUCCCCUAUCAAUGUUUGUCAUCCACUCCAAUGUAUAAAGAUAGUACGAACUUACGUCUCCAGAGCUGGCCAUACUACCUAAGCAUUCAACAAA